ACAUUUGCUUUGAUUUGAACUCAUAAUAACAUUAUGGUAGUAGCCCAUCAUAUUGUGCCCGUUCAAGCAUGACGUUAUCGGAAUGAGAGAUAUGUAAAUUAGCUGUCGUUUUUUAAUGGGGGCAUAUGCAUAGCCCUGUCUUGUAUUCACUGUGAGCAGGCGGCACACCAUGCAUUUCUAUCCCUACUGCGUUUAAUCCUCCCGGUGUAGUGAGUCAGUUUGGAGAGAGGAGAGGCUGUACAGCAAGUAACUUUAUAGCGUCGGCCCGCUUCUUGCGCAGCGCAGGUCACUGGAUAAUCAUAUGGUUUCCAGAGGGAUUUUCGCCCGUCGUCAUGGUGUACCGCUUUUAAAUCUACUGUCGGUGACACCUGCGUUUUUUUUGUCUUGAAGUUUCGCCGACCGCGAACAGUUGCGUCUGCAUUCCGUUUUCUCCAGAGUCCAGACCCGCACCGUUUUUCAGAGAGGGAGAGAGGGUCCCCGUUUGUCCUACCUGCUGUCUUCACGCGUAGCUCAACAUGCCAACUAUUCUCUAGCCCGGUCAAACAUACACUGCCUACUUUUCCCGGUGUUGUUGUUUAUCUGGAACUUCCGGGAACCAAUAAUUAUAUUUGAGAAUCGGUGUGAUUUGAACUAGGAAGAUACUGCAUUCAGCACCGUUGGAUUUAAUGUCUUGUAUGCAUGCGGUGAACAUGGGUUUAGGAUGGAUCUUCAUAGCCGCUUUGGCUGGAAUUCUCACCGCCACUCCAGGAAUACAAGGAGCAUGUGUCUAUCAGGGAUCUCUGUUUGCGGUAAGUGUUUUCUUCAUUCCUUCCCACAUCCCUUUCAUUUCAUUAUGUCUCUAUUGUCUCCUUCUCUUCUUCCGUCUCAGAAUGAUGACGCGGGCCCGUUUCGCAUUGGUGCUGAUGCAUUAUCUAUCACGGUGUAUUAACUCAUACAUUAUGUAGGAACGUGUUACCCGAGGUAGUGUUUCUAAAGCAGGGUUACGGUGACGGUGUCUUCCUACUGUCUAUCUAUGGGGGAUUGUUUCACUCAACCCUUUGUCUGAGAUGUAGCUGGUUAAUAAUGCAUAGCUGCUGCUGACUUUGUGAAUCAUUAAUAGAGAAGAGGAUAUGACUAUUAGAUGUCCCAAUUGGCACCCUAUUCUCUAUAUAGUGCACUACCUUUCACUGGGGCCCAUAGGGCUCUGGUCAAAAGGAGUGCACUAAAUAGGGAGGAGGGUGUCAUUUCGGUCGCAGCCUAGAUGGUUGUUUUGGAAAUGGUUGCUUGUCUCCUACUACUAUUUAUGAAGGAAACUAUAUGGAUGUCUGGGCCCUGUUGUAGAAGGUUAUGAAGGAAGCUAUGUGGAUGUCUGAGCACUGUUGUAGAAGGUUAUGAAGGAAGCUAUGUGGAUGUCUGAGCACUGUUGUAGAAGGUUAUGAAGGAAGCUAUGUGGAUGUCUGAGCACUGUUGGAGAAGGUUAUGAAGGAAGCUACUGUCAUGGGCGUUGUAAGGAUUGGACCAAAACGCAGCGGAUAAAGUGCUCAUCUUCUUUCUUUAUUAAAGAAAACACUUUAAAAAAAUAAACUAACGACGAAAACAGUCCAGUAAGGUGCACAGACUAUACUGGAAACAACCACCCACAAACACAAGAGAAAACUAACCCAACUAAAUAUGGCCUCCAAUUAGAGACAAUGACAACCAGCUGCCUCUAAUUGGAGGUCAUUGCCAAAAACCCAACAUAGAAAUAGAAAACUAGAUAAACACAUAGAAAUAGAUAACAGAACAUAAACCAAAAACACCGAAACACACAAAACAAACACCCCCUGCCACGCCCUGACCAAACUACAAUAACAAAUAACCCCUUUUACUGGUCACGACGUGACAGCCACAGUGCCUUCGGAAAGUAUUCAGACCCCUUGACGUUUUCCACAUUUUGUUACAUUACAGCCUUAUUCUAAAAUUGAUUAAAUAAUUUCCCCCCCUCAUCAAUCGACACAUAAUAGCCCAUAAUGACAAAGGAAAAA
rnacentral:lncRNA from 8 species